rnacentral:rRNA from 1 species
CAUUGGGCUUAAAUACUCUAAUGGCACCAGAUCCCGUCUGACCUUGGAAGCUAAACAGGGCCUGCCUUGGUUAAUACUUGAAUGGGAAUUGCCCAGUGAAUACCAGGUAUUGUAAAUU